GUAUGGUUAUUCCACAGCAGUCUGAUGUUGGUUUCACAUGAUUUCAUCACUACUGUGGGUCAUGGUUUCAAAGCUGGUUGGGAACAUAUACAGCGGAACCGAAGCAGUGCUUAUCGGCUGGUCAAGACCCGUCUGUGACGGCCCCAAGAGGUCUUGGUGUUGGGCCUCUGUACUGUGUGCUGUCUGUGUUUCUUCCUGCAGGCAAUUAAGGAGAUUGGGAGCACCUUGCCAGUGAGCCCAACCUAUUUAGGCCUGCCUGCCCAGACGCCAGUGUCGAUGCUUGCGCCUGCCACACCGCUCUGCCACGCUAGCCUUUUGUUUUAAAUAAAUUUACGUUAAUCUUUGUAAA